GGAUCAGAUCAAGCGCGAGAAGGGCGUUUGGUGGAUGCCUUGGCAGUAAGAGGCGAUGAAGGACGUGAUACUCUGCGAUAAGCUUUGGGAAGUCGAGAAUAGACGCUAUACCCAAAGAUCUCCGAAUGGG
rnacentral:rRNA from 1 species